GGAAGAAUACCCAAGUGGUUGAAGGGACUGGUUUCGAAAACCAGCAGGAGCUCAAACUCGCAGGGGUUCAAAUCCCCUUUCUUCCGCCA
rnacentral:tRNA from 1 species